GCCAGGCCAGCCAACUGGCUCCGGCGAGCACCCAACGCCAUGGAUGGUCUCCUGCCUGCAUGUGCGUGAGAAAGAGAGGUAACUACUCGUGUCCACUACUCCACUCGUGUGUGAGAUGUGCGGAGAAAGAAAGGAGAGAAGAAACUGUCGUCUCUGCGUGAAGGAGAAAAGAAAAUGCUCCUAGGCCCCACCCACAUGCCCUCCGCAUGCGACCAGGCAACAUGCAUGCCAUCCAAUCCAUCACAAAUCGUGCAUCAUGUGGCCCCCACUUGCAUGCCAUUCAAUCUCAUGUUCCCCUUAAUGCCAUAGAUCCUAAAGAUUGUCUACGGUUGUGACUCAUGUGGUCCAUUGUACGGUUAGCCUUUGACCAAUAGAAUAGCGCCACAUAGUAUAAAUCCGAGAAACGCUAGUUAUUUAAUAUACAUGUUGCGUGGCGUGUCCGUCUCGACUCAUUUCGGUCGUAGCGACUUCGUAAUAACCUCGACUACGUUUAGUAAUAUUAUUUAGUCGCAACACAUGUUUUCGUUAAUUAGGUAAUUAAUCCAAGAUUUAUAUGAAUGACAUUCUAAUUAAAAUUAAGGUAUAUUUUUAAAAUGGUGAUUUUAUAGAUGCGAAUUAAUGUGGUUAGUUCCGACUCAGAUGUUUUCAAAUAAUAUUUGUUUAAUGUAAACAUGAUGUCUGUUUAGCUUUUCUCGCGAAUCGCGCGCGUCAUUCACGUGUGUUAUGUGUGCUGUUUCGUACGCGUUGCCCGCAUGUAUCACGUGUGAGGAUCGCAUGCGUAGCCGCGCGUGGUCCGCGCGCUAAGUCGCGUGUGUCUGCGUGUCGUCGCGCAUUGUUCGCGCACUAUCGCAUUGCUCGCACGUUAUCGCGCGCGUGUUCGCGUGUCAUUCGCGCGCUGUUUGCGCGUCGUCGCGCAUUGUUCGCGCACUAUCGCAUUGCUCGCACAUUAUCGCGCGUGUGUUCGCGUGUCAUUUGCGCGUUGUUUGCGCGUCGUCGUCACUUCCUUCGCGCGUUCGUGCCGCGCGUCCGGUUCGUGUGUCGCGCGGCGUCUGCGUGUGAUAAUAAAUUGUUGUUGCUUAUAAAUGCUCAUGUUAAUAACGUUAAUUCGUGAGGUCACAUAUUUUAGAUAAUUAACUUAGCUAGUUUUGCUCGACUAAUAUUUAUUAGAUUAAUAUCCCAAUUAGAUUAAAUGUGUAGUGUUCAACUUGCGCGUUUAUAGUAAACAUUGACAUGACAAAUAUUAAGUUAACUACUUUUUAUUUAUUUAAUAUUUGUUUAGUACAAACACAUCACCUAUUUAGUUUUCUUACCUGUCGCGCGUGUUGUUCCGCACAUGGUGGUGUUCUCGUUCGCGCUGGUCGCGCGCGCUGUUUCGUGUGUCGUCAGCGUGCUAUGUCAAUGUCUGCGCGUCGUUUGCACCCUGUCGUGUUGGGUUCAUCGUCGUCAUGUUGUCUGCGCGUGCCGUUCGUGGUCCGUGCGUUGAGUCGCUGAUGUUAUUUAAAUUACUUAUUUAACUAAGAAUUGUUAGGGUGGUCAGCUAAUUAAAACUGUGUGAUAGCUCUAGUUUCUUUUUAAAUAAAUCGAUUAAUAUAACCAGGUCAAACUAAAUGUUAUGAUUAAUACUCGUUUAGUGUAGACGCGAUAACUUCUCGACCGUAGCUCCGCAUGUCGCGUUUCUUUUUCCUCGCGUGACCGUAGUAAUGUGCUCUAUUUCGUUUUGCAUAUUUUAUUAUGUUUUUAUUUGAAUAGUGUAAUGUUCUUAUGCAUAUAUAUGUUUGUUUGUUUGUUUGUUUGUGCCUGUUUGUAUUCACUGUGCGUUGUGAAUAGAUUGCGAUCCGUUUUCGAGCUUGGAGGGAUCAAAGAUCAAGCGUUGGCGACCAAGUGAUCCAGUUCUUCGAGUUCCACGAGAUUGAAGACCCUGAGCAUCUGUUUGGUGAAGGCAAGUGUCCUCUGACCCAUUAUGUCCUAUCUACUUAUAAUUCAUUGUCCUGUAUUACUUAAUUGAAACCUAAGGAGUGACUAGUUUCUAUUUACCUUGUCCUUGAUUACCUUUUGGGUUAUUAUGGUUAGCUUCAUGCUAUUGCUCUACUUUAAUCAAUGAACAUGAUGUGAAUAUUUAUGAUACGAUACUGUUAUUAUGAUUAUGAUGAUGUUCUUGUGACACUUUAGGGGACUCAGGCCAUUUUUCCUGAGUACCUCUCCGUAAGGACCUAUUCGGGGAGUGACAACCCGAGAUAACAGUGCAACCAUGAAGGUGGAAUGAGACGCCCUUAGCUGAUUAAUUAUAUGAAACUGGGGGUAUAGUUGGCUUUGAC
rnacentral:lncRNA from 1 species